rnacentral:rRNA from 1 species
UACGUAGGGUGCAAGCGUUGUCCGGAAUUAUUGGGCGUAAAGAGCUCGUAGGCGGUUUGUCGCGUCUGCUGUGAAAACUGGAGGCUUUAACUCCGGGCCUGCAGUGGGUACGGGCAGACUAGAGUGCGGUAGGGGAGACUGGAAUUCCUGGUGUAGCGGUGAAAAUGCGCAGAUAUCGGGAAGAACACCCGUGGCGAAGGCG